CUCGUAUAACCAGCAAGUGAUCGCGUGAUAGCAUUGGCUGUUUUUCAGGGACCGUCGCCAUGUUAUGCCGCUAUUUUAUAGUGUUGGAGGAGUUAAAUAUGCUUUGGGGCUCUAAAACAUGAAGCUCAAAAUGGACCUGAUUUUCAAUUUAUUGAAAAUGUCGAGAGGGGGACACUUUUCGGACAUGACAGACGUCAAUCCGAAGAUUUUAUUCGGAUCUGGACUCUUGCUAGCACCAGUUUUGAAGAGUACUUCUUUGACAACACUGGCAGAGUUAUGAAGGCUUUUGAUCUUCAAAUUCUUCAGGGUGGACAAGAAGGGAGGGGUACAGUGCCUUUGCCGCCACUCAUUUGUGAAUGGGAAAGGGGACGAAGAAUGUCAGACACAGUGAUACCCGUUUUGGGGGAAUGAUGAUCUUCGAAACCAAGAACGUACCUGGAUGCAAUAAUGCAAUAAGACAGUUAUGUGCAUGAUCUAUGUAAUGUUUGGGACACUUUUUAUUUGGUACAGGCAGAAAACUUUUCAAUGUAUCUUUGCUGUACAGGUCAAAUGUUAUGAACCCUGAUUGUAUUAAUUGACUUCCAUCAAGUGAAACAAAAUUGAAAGUUAAACGACUAUCAUGGCAUGUGACCUAACUUGUUGCCAUGGUACAUCAUAAAUAUAUAAACAAUAUCCAUUGAUUAAAAAUAAGCAGUGUUCAAAUUUUCAAACCUGUACAGUUAAGGGUAGCUGGUUAAGGGAAUAUAAUGCAAAUGAAAUAUCAUGAAGCUUCUAAUCGGGACACGACCAUGCAUUUAGGCAUGGAUUGCAGCAUCAUCAGGCAGUGCUUAAAAUAUUAGAAUCAUGAUUUACCCAUAAAGACAGACACAUCAAUAUAUUUCUAUAUUUGAUCAUUAAAUGACAAUGGAGGUUGUUUAAGGAAUUGCAUAGCCUUUGCAAUACAUACCAAAGAUGUGUUCAUGAAAUAGUUCAUCAAUUUUCAAUCAUUACAAGAGUGUUAUUGUGAUUCGGUUUAUUCGCUAGAUCUGCACACAUCACAUUAGUCUUCUCUUUGAUGAGCUACUUUUGUAACUUUUUUUCUGUUAUCUUCUUUCUUUCAUAAAUUUCUACUUUCCUUGAGUUCUAUAUUUCAUAUCCUGUCUUAUUAUUGAUCUUCUUUAGUAUAAAAAAUAAUAAAAAAGUAGUUUGUUUUUAUUUAUGUUACCUACAUGUACAUGAUCUUAAAUUAUCGAGUCUGUGUUAUCCUGACCAUUGUCCUUUACACUUGGGCAUUAGGUAAAAACAUGCAUAUCAGAGAUAAUCAGAAAGCUGAAGUAGUUG